GGAUCAUUAAAGAGUUUAAUAAAACUCCUAAACCCCUGUGAACUUACUGGUGUUUGGCUCGCCAGAUAUAGUCUGGUCCGUAAGCAAAUCGACUGCCUGCCUGUGUAACAGGCAGGUAAGCUUUUGUCGCGGGGUCCCGGAUCAACCCGGGCUAGAUAGCCACUUAACUAUAUACUUUUUAUAAAAUCUGUGAACUUACUAGGUUGGAUUCUCGCCAGAGAUAGUCUGGUUUCUGCUUCGCGGAUCGCCUACCCGUGACACCUGUCACAGGCAGGUAUGCUUCUGCCGCGGGUCCGUAAGUAAAUCAUCUGUUUCGCAAGGGACGGCGAUUUACCUGUGGAAGAGGUCCUCUAACUAUAUUCUUAGUAUAGUUUGUUCACUAGAUCAAACAUUCUGAAUAAAAACUUAAACUAGUUAAAACUUUCAACAACGGAUCUCUUGGUUCUGGCAUCGAUGAAGAACGCAGCGAAAUGCGAUAAGUAAUGUGAAUUGCAGAAUUCAGUGAAUCAUCGAAUCUUUGAACGCACAUUGCGCCCAUUAGUAUUCUAGUGGGCAUGCCUGUUCGAGCGUCAUUUCAACCCUUAAGCCCCUGUUGCUUAGCGUUGGGAGCCUACAGCCUGCUGUAGCUCCUUAAAGGUAGUGGCGGAGUCGGUUCACACUCUAGACGUAGUAAAAUCUUUAUCUCGCCUAUGGAUGAGCCGGCGCCUUGCCGUAAAACCCCUAAUCUUUCACAAGGUUGACCUCGGAUCAGGUAGGAAUACCCGCUGAACUUAAGCAUAUCAAUAAGCGGAGGAAAAGAAACCAACAGGGAUUGCCCUAGUAACGGCGAGUGAAGCGGCAACAGCUCAAAUUUGAAAUCUGGCCUUCGGGUCCGAGUUGUAAUUUGCAGAGGAUGCUUUGGGCGCGGUGCCUUCCGAGUUCCCUGGAACGGGACGCCUUAGAGGGUGAGAGCCCCGUACGGUUGGACACCAAGCCUCUGUAAAGCUCCUUCGACGAGUCGAGUAGUUUGGGAAUGCUGCUCUAAAUGGGAGGUAAAUUUCUUCUAAAGCUAAAUAUUGGCCAGAGACCGAUAGCGCACAAGUAGAGUGAUCGAAAGAUGAAAAGCACUUUGAAAAGAGGGUUAAAUAGCACGUGAAAUUGUUGAAAGGGAAGCGUUUACGACCAGACCUUUUCGCAGCGGAUCAUCCGGUGUUCUCACCGGUGCACUUCGCUGGGUUGAGGCCAGCAUCGGUUUCCGUAGGGGGAUAAAAGCCUGGGGAACGUAGCUCCCUCGGGAGUGUUAUAGCCCCUCGCAUAAUACCCUUGCGGGGACCGAGGACCGCGCU
rnacentral:rRNA from 1 species